AGGGAUUUAGCUCAGUGGUAUAAGUGCCUGCCUGGCAAGCAUGAGGUAGUGAGUUCAAUCCCUG
rnacentral:tRNA from 1 species